rnacentral:rRNA from 1 species
AUUGAACGCUGGCGGCAUGCUUUACACAUGCAAGUCGAACGGUAACAGGCCUUCGGGUGCUGACGAGUGGCGCACGGGUGAGUAAUGCAUCGGAACGUGCCCAGAGGUGGGGGAUAACGCAGCGAAAGCUGUGCUAAUACCGCACGUGAUCUGAGGAUGAAAGCGGGGGACCAAGCAGCAAUGUUUGGCCUCGCGCCUCUGGAGCGGCCGAUGUCAGAUUAGGUAGUUGGUGGGGUAAAGGCCUACCAAGCCGACGAUCUGUAGCUGGUCUGAGAGGACGAACAGCCACACUGGGACUGAGACACGGCCCAGACUCCUACGGGAGGCAGCAGUGGGGAAUUUUGGACAAUGGGCGCAAGCCUGAUCCAGCAAUGCCGCGUGCGGGAAGAAGGCCUUCGGGUUGUAAACCGCUUUUGUACGGAACGAAAAGGCUCUGGCUAAUACCUGGGGCUGAUGACGGUACCGUGAGAAUAAGCACCGGCUAACUACGUG